rnacentral:rRNA from 1 species
GUAACUAUAACGGUCCUAAGGUAGCGAAAUUCCUUGUCGGGUAAGUUCCGACCCGCACGAAAGGCGUAACGAUUUGGGCACUGUCUCAACGAGAGACUCGGUGAAAUCAUAGUACCUGUGAAGAUGCAGGUUACCCGCGACAGGACGGAAAGACCCCGUGGAGCUUUACUGUAGCCUGAUAUUGAAAUUCGGCACAGCUUGUACAGGAUAGGUAGGAGCCUUUGAAACGUGAGCGCUAGCUUACGUGGAGGCGCUGGUGGGAUACUACCCUAGCUGUGUUGGCUUUCUAACCCGCACCACUUAUCGUGGUGGGAGACAGUGUCAGGCGGGCAGUUUGACUGGGGCGGUCGCCUCCUAAAAGGUAACGGAGGCGCUCAAAGGUUCCCUCAGAAUGGUUGGAAAUCAUUCAUAGAGUGUAAAGGCAUAAGGGAGCUUGACUGCGAGACCUACAAGUCGAGCAGGGUCGAAAGACGGACUUAGUGAUCCGGUGGUUCCGCAUGGAAGGGCCAUCGCUCAACGGAUAAAAGCUACCCCGGGGAUAACAGGCUUAUCUCCCCCAAGAGUUCACAUCGACGGGGAGGUUUGGCACCUCGAUGUCGGCUCAUCGCAUCCUGGGGCUGUAGUCGGUCCCAAGGGUUGGGCUGUUCGCCCAUUAAAGCGGUACGCGAGCUGGGUUCAGAACGUCGUGAGACAGUUCGGUCCCUAUCCGUCGUGGGCGUAGGAAAUUUGAGAGGAGCUGUCCUUAGUACGAGAGGACCGGGAUGGACAUACCUCUGGUGUACCAGUUGUCGUGCCAACGGCAUAGCUGGGUAGCUAUGUGUGGACGGGAUAAGUG